GUUCUGUAGUCUCAUUAAUAAUCUAACCUAGUCUGCAGCCUUUGUAGCUUUCUUAGCUGAGUUCCACCAAUUUUUCUUCCUUGAAAAAAAAAAAAGAAAGUGGAAGAAAAAUUCAGCACAAUGCGAUAAGAAACUGUCAGCAGGAGACAGGAAAGAUGGUCAUACAAGGAUUUCCAUUAUUGACAAAGAGAGAUUAUGAACAAGAAAAAGGCUGUUUUAUGCCAGGAACAUAUGCUUUAUAAAUAUGAUAAAUGAAACAUACCAGAAAAUUCUUUUCUAUAUAAUAUUGGCAAGGCAUUUGGACAUGCACUUUCAGGAAGCUCUGAUAUUCAGGCAGAAAUGGAAUGGAGAACUGCGACUGUAUGACUACAUGUCUACUAUUAAGGCAUUUUUGAUGGACAGUUCCCUCUUCUGAUUUUUAAACAAUAAACUUGGGCACCUCAGUUAAUGCAAGGAUGGGCAACCUGAUUGCCCUGUGGCUGCAGGCAGUCUUUGAGCUAAUAUCAUGCAGGGUUUGUUCUAAUUUCAGGACCUCUGUGAAAACAAAAAAGGCUGAAGACAGAUCUUAUUAAAAGGUAUCAAUUCCUUCCUGGCAGCCAGUAGAAAGCGAGAGAGGAUAGAGGGAGGAGAAAAAAGGUGUCAAAAUAAUAGAAUGAGAGUAAGCAAAAGAAGAGUGUCUGAGAGAGAAACAGAAGGAAUGUCAGAGAGAUAAUAGUUGCUUCAGUUCUCCCAUUUCACACCCCCCAGGAAUGUAUGGCCUUCAAAAAUCAAAUUUUCAUCCCUGAGCUAGUUAACUUUUUACUGGAAGGUUGUCUCUCUUAUAAAGUAAGAUGCGGUGACUCUACCAUCUUAACAACAGUAAAAAAUGGAAUCCGAUAUCAUUAACCUCAUCAAAGAAUGUGAUAAUAUAAUCACCUUUCAUUGAACUAUCAAAUAUUCAAGUCAUUAUUUAAAACUAAAAGUCCUUGAAAUCCAGGCA